rnacentral:rRNA from 1 species
GAUGAACGCUGGCGGCGUGCCUAAUACAUGCAAGUCGAGCGAACAGACGAGGAGCUUGCUCCUCUGACGUUAGCGGCGGACGGGUGAGUAACACGUGGAUAACCUACCUAUAAGACUGGGAUAACUUCGGGAAACCGGAGCUAAUACCGGAUAAUAUAUUGAACCGCAUGGUUCAAUAGUGAAAGACGGUUUUGCUGUCACUUAUAGAUGGAUCCGCGCCGCAUUAGCUAGUUGGUAAGGUAACGGCUUACCAAGGCAACGAUGCGUAGCCGACCUGAGAGGGUGAUCGGCCACACUGGAACUGAGACACGGUCCAGACUCCUACGGGAGGCAGCAGUAGGGAAUCUUCCGCAAUGGGCGAAAGCCUGACGGAGCAACGCCGCGUGAGUGAUGAAGGUCUUCGGAUUGUAAAACUCUGUUAUUAGAGAAGAACAAAUGUGUAAGUAACUAUGCACGUCUUGACGGUACCUAAUCAGAAAGCCACGGCUAACUACGUG